UGACGGUAUCUAACCAGCAAGUCACGGCUAACUACGUGCCAGCAGCCGCGGUAAUACGUAGGUGGCAAGCGUUAUCCGGAUUUAUUGGGCGUAAAGGGAACGCAGGCGGUUUUUUAAGUCUGAUGUGAAAGCCUUCGGCUUAACCGGAGAAUAGCAUUGGAAACUGGAAGACUUGAGUGCAGAAGAGGAGAGUGGAACUCCAUGUGUAGCGGUGAAAUGCGUAGAUAUCAGGAGGAACACCGGUGGCGAAGGCGGCCUGCUGGACUGUAACUGACGCUGAGGCUCGAAGGCGUGGGGAGCAAACAGGAUUAGAUACCCUG
rnacentral:rRNA from 1 species